GCGCUUGCUUACAUAUUAACGUGCAAUAUGGCUAUGUGGCAUGACCUGUUAACAAAGGUGUUGUCUGUUUAGAUAGUCUGGUCUUCCUGUGUUUUUCUAGCAUUUUCACAGGUGACACAAGGCACAAUGUCUUGUUCAAAUAUGCAAGUCACAGUAACUAUGGCCAUAGCCUUUUAGGUCACAUUAUCUACGUAUCCACUUCUCGUACUCGAUGACUGAACCGAGACUGAGGUGUGACAAGGCACUUGCACUGCUUGAUGGACUGAAGACCAG
rnacentral:lncRNA from 1 species